UUCAUAAAUGUAUUCAUAGCAGUGGUUAUGAAUUUGUGAUGUAUGUUUUAAUAUAUUGUAAAUAAACAUACAAAUUAAUGUACAACCACACCGACAAAACAGAUAAAAAUGUUUUUAAGAAUUUCUAAAUGUUAAGAAGCCAUUUAAGUAGAAUGGUUGAAAACUGACUUUUCAGCAUUUUAUUAAAUAAUGAAGGUAAACCGUAUUAUAGAGUUGACUGUUUUGACUAUUUCAAAUUCUGUCCGUGCAGAAAAAGGAAGAUCGGGUAGAGGUGGCAUGUAUUAAGUCGGGAUGAGAGGCUGUAUGUCUAUGGAGUAUUCUGUCUGAUAUCUGGGAAUCCUUUAAAUAAUUGUUGAGUGUUUUCCCCUGGAUGACCUUGGGAACGGUUUACCUGCCUGUUGUUGCAAUUGUCUGGUCUCUGACCUGUCUGCCUCACCAAAGAUUCUGAACCUGCUGGCUCUCAGGUUUCCAGAAGUUUGUUUAAGCUUUUGUUAGAAUUUGUACAUGGUCCUUACAGCUUCUUUGUCUUGUUCUCAAGGAAUUAUGACAACCUCCCUUGAAAAAGUAUGCAUUCAAGUGACCUGAAUUGCUUGAAAAUCAUGUUCUCUCUCGAUGUUUUCUCAGCGUGGUGUUUGUCUGACCUGUUUACCCUUUUAUCUUUUUCUUACACUAGUUCAAUGCACCCUGUGUUUGUUUUGUAACUCAUGAAACCAUUGCCCAAAGCCUGAACACAGCAAAAAGACACUUCACAAUAGUGGUGUGUAUGCAGUCUUAUCGACAGUAGUUCAAACAAUGGGGAGAAAAACUACACUCCAAAGACUGAUUCCCUUUAAAAGCAUCUAUUCAUUAAAACAAUCCACAAGCGAACACUGUUGAAUGGUGAUGAAGCAGUGCAGUGCUCAGCAAAUAAGAGCCUUGAAUAAGAAAAAUGUAGAGUCUUAAAGUAUUUUGUAUGUAGGAAGCACUUUUCCAAGAAUAAUUGGAUCUGGGUCUCCUGUUAAAGGCACCUCAAAUUAGCCUUCAUUUAUUUAAGUAACAUCAAGGGGGAUCUGUUUGUUAAUUGUAUUUUUGAUAUUAUG